GGGAAACCGGAGCUAAUACCGGAUAAUAUAUUGAACCGCAUGGUUCAAUAGUGAAAGACGGUUUUGCUGUCACUUAUAGAUGGAUCCGCGCCGCAUUAGCUAGUUGGUAAGGUAACGGCUUACCAAGGCAACGAUGCGUAGCCGACCUGAGAGGGUGAUCGGCCACACUGGAACUGAGACACGGUCCAGACUCCUACGGGAGGCAGCAGCC
rnacentral:rRNA from 1 species